CUCGUAUCGGCUGCCAGUGUCUUUCUGACGUGUGUUCUCAUUAGUCGACGACGAAGUGGAGUGACAAGGAACCUAUGUCCAGGAAUCGUGGAAAUACCAACCUCUGUAGUCCGCUUCUUGCAUUUGUCACUGGCUGCGAAUAUGUUCAAUUGAGUGGAGCCCGGAGGCAGAGGGCACUGAUCUAUGUCCAGCCUGCGUAGGUCGAUAUCUAUCCCACUCGUUCCCCUGAAAUGAAUAAUCGAAGAGAUAAGAGUUUCGUUCGAGAAAAAAGUAUUUUCAGAUAAGAGAAAUAUAAAAAUAAAGGAAAGAAGAUAUAUGGGACAGAGAUAUAAAAGGAGGGACAGAGAUAGAUAGAUAGAUAGAGAGAGAGAGAGAGAGAGAGAGAGAGACAGAUAAUAAAGAAAAUGAAAGAAGAAAAAAGCGAAUAAAAGAUAACGGAAAAAUGUUCAAGUGGUAGUAUAAAAGAGAGCAUUGCAAAGCGAACAGCAUUAUAAUUAUAAAAAUUGAUCUGGAGAAAUCAAAUUUUGUGGGAAUUCAUUUUGAAUUAUUAUUUUUGAAUUAUUUCAUAGAGCGACUAUCACUUCCGGCAACAAUGUCGGACAACGAGCAACAAAACGAGCAACAAAACACGAACAAUGCAAACGCCGAAGAUGAUAAAGUCAAAAAUGUUAACAAUAACAGCGAAAAUAAUCAAAAUAAAAAAACAGAGACAAUAAGUCGAAGUGAAAGAAGUAUAAUUGAUCCUGGAACGCCAUCAUACGACCUUAAUCAUAAAGGUGAAAUGGUUGAAAGGAUUGAUUAAAUGAAAUUAAUAAGAGUGCUCAAAAAGAUAAUUAAUGUAAAGUGAAAAAUUUUCAUUUAGAUAAAAAAAAAAUAAAUUUUCAUUUCAAAAAAU